rnacentral:rRNA from 1 species
CGGAUUAGUGGCGAACGGGUGAGUAACAUAUCGGAACGUACCCAGUAAGUGGGGAUAACUAGUCGAAAGACUGGCUAAUACCGCAUACGCCCUGAGGGGAAAGCGGGGGAUCGAAAGACCUCGUGUUAUUGGAGCGGCCGAUAUCUGAUUAGCUAGUUGGUGGGGUAAAGGCCUACCAAGGCGACGAUCAGUAGCUGGUCUGAGAGGACGACCAGCCACACUGGAACUGAGACACGGUCCAG